rnacentral:misc_RNA from 1 species
UACGUCAUCCCACCUGGGGAGUACGUUCGCAAGAAUGAAACUCAAAGGAAUUGACGGGGGCCCGCACAAGCGGUGGAGCAUGUGGUUUAAUUCGAUGAUACGCGAGGAACCUUACCAGGGCUUAAAUGUAGUCUGACGUAUUUGGAAACAGAUAUUUCUUCGGACAGAUUACAAGGUGCUGCAUGGUUGUCGUCAGCUCGUGCCGUGAGGUGUCAGGUUAAGUCCUAUAACGAGCGCAACCCCUGUGGUUAGUUGCCAGCGAGUCAAGUCGGGAACUCUAGCCAGACUGCCGGUGCAAACCGUGAGGAAGGUGGGGAUGACGUAGAACGGUUGGUU